rnacentral:pre_miRNA from 1 species
AAAAAGUCAAACCCUAAGUUUCCGUGUCCAACUUUGACUGUCCGUCUUAUAUAAUUUUUUUUAUAAUUCGUAUUUUUAUUAUUGUUAGAUGAUAAAAUAUAAUUAAUAUUUUAUACGUGACUUGUCUUUUUAAUUUUUUUUAUAAUUUUUUUAAAUAAAACAGACGGUCAAAUGUUGGGCACGGAAACCAGAGUUUGUCUUUUUU